rnacentral:rRNA from 2 species
CCCGUCUGAGGGUCGGC